UACAGGGGGUGCAAACGUUGCUCGGAAUCAUUGGGCGUAAAGCGCACGUAGGCGGUUCGUUAUGUCGGAUGUGCAAGCCCUUGGCUUAACCGAGGAAGUGCAUCCGAAACUGGCGAGCUAGAGUACUAAAGAGGAUCGCGGAAUUCCCGGUGUAGAGGUGAAAUUCGUAGAUAUCGGGAGGAACACCGGUGGCGAAGGCGGCGAUCUGGGUAGAUACUGACGCUGAGGUGCGAAAGCGUGGGGAGCAAACAGG
rnacentral:rRNA from 1 species